rnacentral:rRNA from 1 species
GACGAACGCUGGCGGCGUGCUUAACACAUGCAAGUCGAACGCUGAAGACCUGGCUUUUGUUGGGUUGGAUGAGUGGCGAACGGGUGAGUAACACGUGAGUAACCUGCCCUCUUCUUUGGGAUAACGCCCGGAAACGGGUGCUAAUACUGGAUAUUCACUGGCCUUCGCAUGGGGGUUGGUGGAAGGGGUUGUUCUGGUGGGGGAUGGGCUCGCGGCCUAUCCGGUUGUUGGUGGGGUGAUGGCCUACCAAGGCUUUGACGGGUAUCCGGCCGGGGAGGGUGACCGUGGAAAUUGGGACUGGGACACGGCCCAGAGGCCUGCGGGAGGCGGCAGUGGGGAACAUUGCACAAAGGGCGAACGCCUGAUGCAGCGGCGCCGCAUGAGGGAUGGAGGACUUCGGGUUGUAAUCCUCUUGCGCUCAUGGUCAAGCCGCAACUGUGGGUUGUGGUGAGGGUAGUGGGUAAAGAAGCGCCGGCUAACUACGUG